UACGGGGGGGGGCAAGCGUUGUUCGGAAUUACUGGGCGUAAAGGGCUCGUAGGCGGCCAACUAAGUCGGACGUGAAAUCCCCAGGCUCAACCUGGGAACUGCGUCUGAUACUGGAUGGCUUGAAUCCGGGAGAGGGAUGCAGAAUUCCAGGUGUAGCGGUGAAAUGCGUAGAUAUCUGGAGGAAUACCGGUGGCGAAGGCGGCAUCCUGGACCGGCAUUGACGCUGAUGAGCGAAAGCUAGGGGAGCAAACGGG
rnacentral:rRNA from 1 species